ACUAGCCUGAAAGCUUAAACCCCACACACGUAUCGACACGAUGGCCUGGGUGCCUCUCAGCAGUUCUCUACAACUAGAGCUAGCUGGGGGUUGGUCAUUGGGAUACGUGGAGGCCUAACC
rnacentral:sRNA from 1 species